rnacentral:rRNA from 1 species
GACCCCAGGUCAGGCGGGAAUACCCGCUGAAUUUAAGCAUAUCAAUAAGCGGARGAAAAG